CUCCCUCUUCCAAGGACGCGGCCCCCAACAGCCUGUGCCUCUGUCUCUACCGCUUCGCUGGAACAGAGAUACCCAAUUCCGCGCCUUCCGUUCCAGCCGAGUUCUCCGAGAACAAGGCGCGCGCCUGCUUCAGGUUUGCACGCAGAGCCCGGCUCCCGGUGGGCUUUCACAGCUGAACGAACGAAGGUGACUCGCGGACCGAAGGCACCCCCCUUAGAGGCUCUUCGAGAACCCUCCACCCCUGGAGCAGAGGCGCCGGCCCAAGACUCACUCAUGACUCGGAUGGGAGAAGGCUUUCUCGCUGCGCUCGUGGCCGUAAGGAACCGCACAUGGCCUGAGGACAUCUGGUGAUGCUGGUCUUGUUCGGGUCCAGGAGCUCCUCCCUUUCAGGCUGCCAGCAGGUUUUUAAACAUCUAAGAAUACCAAGUAAAUUUAUCAGUACUUAUUUGACAAAGAAGAGAGAGGGCGAGUACGUAUGUGCAUGGAGAGAAUGAGCCGUGCAUAAGUUUUCCAGCAUCGCAUGGCAAGCAGAAGGAUGCUGAUUUCACCAAUGAAAUAGCUAAUAAGAGCACAAAGGCAGACAUCUCGAAGCAUUCCCAGGCCCCAAAGAAAAAGAAGGUCCCGGAAUGUUCAGAAGAUGCUGGAACAAGAGAGGAAGAGUCCGUAUGAGCCACCCUGAAAGCUAGAAUUUAUUGUAUAUCAACAUGUUCAAUAAAAUUUAUUUUGAAAAGUGUA